rnacentral:lncRNA from 10 species
GCCGCUGAGCUUGGACCCCGACCAGAAGAUAGAGAUUGAAACGAUGAGGAAAACGAAGUGCCUAAUCCCCGCUGGACGCUAACUGCAGGGCAAGCUCCCCAGUGUUGUAGUUGUGUUUCGGAGGCCGAGAACCGCUAUCGGGCUUCCUCGGACUCUGGCCCUGGAGGGGGGAAACGGCGAGGGAGAAGGCGAAACGAGUCUCCAGUGUGUUCUUGGGGCCUGGUGCGAGGCCCAGAGAAUUCUCUGCAGGCCUUUGCCCGGGCACUGAUUAAGGCUGCGAAGAGACGCACCGGGCUGCGGGCUUAGUAGCUUCAGGCUUCUGAAGUCAGAGGGAGGGCUGAGAGCUUACACUUCUGGAGCUCCCCGGGAGACGGCAACUACCCAACCGUGUGGGUGUGUUUGUGUAUGUGUCUUUUGUUGAGCUUCGGCUGGCUGUGUUAUUCAUUCAACAAAUAUUUAUCGAUCUUCGGCAGUGUGUCAGACAUACCUUCUUCUCAAAUCUUCACAUCAAACCUGAAUUAUCUCCAUUUAAUGAUGAGGAAACUCGGGCUCAAAGAAGUUAAGUGUUCUAGCCAAGACUGCAUAGAACAUGGAGGAGACAUAUUUCCACCUAUUUCUC